UGGGGAAUAUUGGACAAUGGGGGGAACCCUGAUCCAGCCAUGCCGCGUGUGUGAAGAAGGCCUUAUGGUUGUAAAGCACUUUAAGCGAGGAGGAGGGUACUGGUAUUAAUACUACCAGCUACUGGACGUUACUCGCAGAAUAAGCACCGGCUAACUCUGUGCCAGCAGCCGCGGUAAUACAGAGGGUGCGAGCGUUAAUCGGAUUUACUGGGCGUAAAGCGUGCGUAGGCGGCUAAUUGAGUCGGAUGUGAAAUCCCCGAGCUUAACUUGGGAAUUGCAUUGGAUACUGGUUAGCUAGAGUGUGGGAGAGGAUGGUAGAAUUCCAGGUGUAGCGGUGAAAUGCGUAGAGAUCUGGAGGAAUACCGAUGGCGAAGGCAGCCAUCUGGCCUAACACUGACGCUGAGGUACGAAAGCAUGGGGAGCAAACAGG
rnacentral:rRNA from 1 species